UACGUAGGAGGCGAGCGUUGUCCGGAAUUACUGGGCGUAAAGAGCGUGUAGGCGGCGCUGUACGACCCGUGUGAAAGCCCCCGGCUCAACUGGGGAGGGUCACGGGUAACGGCAGUGCUCUGAGUGCAGGAGAGGGAAGUGGAACUCCGGGAGUAGCGGUGAAAUGCGUAGAUAUCGGGAGGAACACCUGUGGCGAAAGCGGCUCACUGGACCAUAACUGACGCUGAUGCACGAAAGCUGGGGGAGCAAACAGG
rnacentral:rRNA from 1 species